rnacentral:misc_RNA from 1 species
GAUUGACUAACCAUAAAAAAUACAUGCAUAUAAUAGCCAAUCUAGUGCUCUAUUUCUGAUUGUCUACUCUUCCCUCAUUAUAAAGUUUUGAAGUAAAAAACAAAAAACUAUAUAUUUCCAACGAAAGGAACAUGCCUUCAUAGUUUUUGCAUUUGCGAGAAGACAAACCACAUUUACAGUUAUGUACACAUUAGGGGUUUCAUACAGCUGCACCUGAAAAGUCCGAUGCAUAUUUUCAUGCCCACAUCCCUUUGAAGAACUCAAAGUCACUGCAAAAGAUACAAGCAGGAUCAACAGCAAUAAGAAACACAAAUAGUGAUUCUUUCCCUUUGUUAUGAGUUAUGGGUUUCGAUUUGUUGUGGGGAAGUAUUUGAUUUUAUGGAUUUGGACUAAUCAAUGGAGAGGAAGGAUGAUUGUCAUGCAUUCAUGGCGAAGAAAGCUAGGAGUGAGAAAACUGAUCACCAUGAAAACCGGGAUAAAGCAUUGGGAAGGGAAGAAGGGAAAGAAUGACAACAAGAGUUGUCAUUUAGGGCUUUGUU